rnacentral:sRNA from 1 species
UCCUAGCCCUGAUGGGAAUGAAAAGCCUUGCGAAGUAGACUUGUAUUUUUUGCUGAUAUAAAAAAGCGACCAACGGAAGCUCCUUUUAUAUCAGCAAAAAAAGAAGGAUAUGAGCAAGCUUGAAAGGACAGCAGGAUUUGCU